rnacentral:rRNA from 1 species
CCUACGGGUGGCAGCAGUGAGGAAUAUUGGUCAAUGGUCGCGAGCCUGAACCAGCCAAGUAGCGUGAAGGAUGACUGCCCUACGGGUUGUAAACUUCUUUUAUAAAGGAAUAAAGUCAGGCACGUGUGCCUUGUUGUGUGUACUUUAUGAAUAAGGAUCGGCUAACUCCGUGCCAGCAGCCGCGGUAAUACGGAGGAUCCGAGCGUUAUCCGGAUUUAUUGGGUUUAAAGGGAGCGUAGAUGGGUUGUUAAGUCAGUGGUGAAAGUUUGCGGCUCAACCGUAGAAUUGCAUUUGAUACUGGCAGCCUCGAGUACAGUUGAGGUAUGCGGAAUGCGUGGUGUAGCGGUGAAAUGCUUAGAUAUCACGAAGAACUCCGAUUGCGAAGGCAGCUUACUAACCUGCCACUGACAUUGAUGCUCGAAAGUGUGGGUAUCAAACAGGAUUAGAUACCCUGGUAGUC